rfam:Picea glauca, whole genome shotgun sequence.
AUGUAAUUCCUACACCAUUGAUGCAUUGAAUCCCAUUAGAAAUCUAUAGUUAAGUGCACUUGGGCUAGAGUAGUACUAGGAUGGGUGAACUCCUGGGAAGUCCUUUUGUUUUAUAUG